rnacentral:pre_miRNA from 1 species
AUCAUACUCUCUUUGUUCGGAAAUACUUGUCGAAGAAAUAGAUGUAUCUAGACGUUUAGUUCUAGAUACAUUCAUUUUUAUCCAUUUAUGUGACAAGUAAUUCUAGAUGGAGGGAGCAUUUU